UCAGUGGUAACACUGGGGCAAGCCGGUAGGGAGAGCGAUAGGCAAAUCCGUCGCUCACUAAUCCUGAGAGGUGACGCAUAGCCGGUUGAGGCGAAUUCGGUGAUCCUCUGCUGCCAAGAAAAGCCUCUAGCGAGCACACACACGGCCCGUACCCCAAACCGACACAGGUGGUCAGGUAGAGCAUACCAAGGCGUACGAGAUAACUAUGGUUAAGGAACUCGGCAAAAUGCCCCCGUAACUUCGGGAGAAGGGGGACCGGAAUAUCGUGAACACCCUUGCGGUGGGAGCGGGAUCCGGUCGCAGAAACCAGUGAGGAGCGACUGUUUACUAAAAACACAGGUCCGUGCGAAGUCGCAAGACGAUGUAUACGGACUGACGCCUGCCCGGUGCUGGAAGGUUAAGAGGACCCGUUAACCCGCAAGGGUGAAGCGGAGAAUUUAAGCCCCAGUAAACGGCGGUGGUAACUAUAACCAUCCUAAGGUAGCGAAAUUCCUUGUCGGGUAAGUUCCGACCUGCACGAAUGGCGUAACGACUUCUCAACUGUCUCAACCAUAGACUCGGCGAAAUUGCACUACGAGUAAAGAUGCUCGUUACGCGCGGCAGGACGAAAAGACCCCGGGACCUUCACUACAACUUGGUAUUGAUGUUCGGUACGGUUUGUGUAGGAUAGGUGGGAGACUGUGAAACCUCGACGCCAGUUGGGGCGGAGUCGUUGUUGAAAUACCACUCUGAUCGUAUUGGGCAUCUAACCUCGAACCCUGAAUCGGGUUUAGGGACAGUGCCUGGCGGGUAGUUUAACUGGGGCGGUUGCCUCCUAAAAUGUAACGGAGGCGCCCAAAGGUUCCCUCAACCUGGACGGCAAUCAGGUGGCGAGUGUAAAUGCACAAGGGAGCUUGACUGCGAGACUUACAAGUCAAGCAGGGACGAAAGUCGGGAUUAGUGAUCCGGCACCCCCGAGUGGAAGGGGUGUCGCUCAACGGAUAAAAGGUACCCCGGGGAUAACAGGCUGAUCUUCCCCAAGAGUCCAUAUCGACGGGAUGGUUUGGCACCUCGAUGUCGGCUCGUCGCAUCCUGGGGCUGGAGCAGGUCCCAAGGGUUGGGCUGUUCGCCCAUUAAAGCGGCACGCGAGCUGGGUUUAGAACGUCGUGAGACAGUUCGGUCUCUAUCCGCCGCGCGCGUCAGAAACUUGAGGAAACCUGUCCCUAGUACGAGAGGACCGGGACGGACGAACCUCUGGUGCACCAGUUGUCCCGCCAGGGGCACCGCUGGAUAGCCACGUUCGGUCAGGAUAACCGCUGAAAGCAUCUAAGCGGGAAACCUUCUCCAAGAUCAGGUUUCUCACCCACUUGGUGGGAUAAGGCCCCCCGCAGAACACGGGUUCAAUAGGUCAGACCUGGAAGCUCAGUAAUGGGUGUAGGGAACUGGUGCUAACCGGCCGAAAACUUACAACACCC
rnacentral:rRNA from 1 species